GUUCGUACGAAGUUCACUAUGAAAUGGAGUGGGUGGUGUAUUGCACAGUUUUAGCCAUUAAAAACUCACCAAAUGACUCCACGAUGUUCCCCAAGUUUUGGACCCAAUCCGAUAUUGAUUGGUGUCCAUGAAAUUGGACAAUUCAGGUUCGUACGAAGUUCGUUAUGAAAUGGAGUGGUUAGUGUAAGGCGUUUUAGCCAUUGGAUUUCGCUCAAAAGUCACCAAAUGACUCCUCC
rnacentral:lncRNA from 1 species